rnacentral:rRNA from 1 species
UACGGAGGUGGCUAGCGUUGUUCGGAAUUACUGGGCGUAAAGGGCGCGUAGGCGGCUUUGCAAGUCAGAUGUGAAAGCCCCGGGCUUAACUCGGGAACUGCAUCUGAAACUGCUUAGCUUGAGUCCUGGAGGGGGUAGUGGAAUUCCCAGUGUAGCGGUGAAAUGCGUAGAUAUUGGGAGGAACACCUGCGGCGAAGGCGGCUACCUGGACAGUGACUGACGCUGAGGCGCGAAAGCUAGGGGAGCGAACGGGAUUAGAUACCCCGGUAGUCCUAGCCGUAAACGAUGGGCACUUGGUGUUGGGGGUAUUGAGUCCCUCGGUGCCGGAGUUAACACGUUAAGUGCCCCGCCUGGGGAGUACGGUCGCAAGACUGAA